UGAGGAAUAUUGGGCAAUGCCCGCAAGGGUGACCCAGCAACGCCGCGUGGAGGAUGAAUGUCGUAAGAUUGUAAACUCCUGUUAGAGGGGAAGAAUAGUACCGGUUGGACCGGUAUAUGACUGUACCCUCAGAGAAAGCCCCGGCUAACUACGUGCCAGCAGCCGCGGUAAUACGUAGGGGGCAAGCGUUGUCCGGAUUUACUGGGGGUAAAGGGCGCGCAGGCGGGAUAAAAAGUCAGUGGUGAAAUCCUACAGCUUAACUGUAGAACUGCCUUUGAUACUUUUAUUCUUGAGUUCGGUAGAGAGAGACGGAAUUCCAGGUGUAGUGGUGAAAUACGUAGAUAUCUGGAAGAACACCAGUUGCGAAGGCGGUCUCUUGGUCCGACACUGACGCUGAGGCGCGAAAGCGUGGGGAGCAAACA
rnacentral:rRNA from 1 species